ensembl:snoRNA SNORD81 Small nucleolar RNA SNORD81
UUUAAUUUAUUAAAACUUAAAGUUAGUUGAACUCUCUCACUGAUUACUUGAUGAUGAGAAAAGAUCUGAUAUUCUG